rnacentral:rRNA from 1 species
AUUGAACGCUGGCGGCAGGCUUAACACAUGCAAGUCGAGCGAGCGGCGGACGGGUGAGUAAUGUCUGGGCAACUGCCUGAUGGAGGGGGAUAACUACUGGAAACGGUAUCUAAUACCGCAUACCAUCAGAUGUGCCCAGAUGGGAUUAGCUAGUAGGUGGGGUAAUGGCUCAAAAAGGCGACGAUCCCUAGCUGGUCUGAGAGGAUGACCAGCCACACUAGAACUGAGAAACAGUCCAGGAUCCAUCGGGAGGCCACGGUUGGGAAUAUUGAACAAUGGGCUGAAGCCUGAUGCAUGCAUGCCGAGUGUGUGAAGAAGGCCUGCGGGUUGGAAAGCACUUUCAGCGAGGAGGCGUUACUCGCAGAAGAAGCACCGGCUAACUCCGUGCCAGCAGCCGCGGUAAUUC